rnacentral:rRNA from 1 species
AUGAACGCUGGCGGCGUGCCUCAUACAUGCCAGUCGCGCGAACAGACGAGGAGCUUGCUCCUCUGACGUUAGCGGCGGACGGGUGAGUAACACGUGGAUAACCUACCUAUAAGACUGGGAUAACUUCGGGAAACCGGAGCUAAUACCGGAUGAUAUAUUGAACCGCAUGGUUCAAUAGUGAAAGACGGUUUUGCUGUCACUUAUAGAUGGAUCCGCGCCGCAUUAGCUAGUUGGUAAGGUAACGGCUUACCAAGGCAACGAUGCGUAGCCGACCUGAGAGGGUGAUCGGCCACACUGGAACUGAGACACGGUCCAGACUCCUACGGGAGGCAGCAGUAGGGAAUCUUCCGCAAUGGGCGAAAGCCUGACGGAGCAACGCCGCGUGAGUGAUGAAGGUCUUCGGAUCGUAAAACUCUGUUAUUAGGGAAGAACAAAUGUGUAAGUAACUAUGCACGUCUUGACGGUACCUAAUCAGAAAGCCACGGCUAACUACGUG